UGGGGAAUAUUGGGCAAUGGAGGAAACUCUGACCCAGCAACGCCGCGUGAAGGAAGAAGGUUUUCGGAUCGUAAACUUCUAUCCUUGGUGAAAAUAAAAGAUGGUAGCCAAGAAGGAAGCCCCGGCUAACUACGUGCCAGCAGCCGCGGUAAUACGUAGGGGGCAAGCGUUGUCCGGAAUGAUUGGGCGUAAAGGGCGCGUAGGCGGCCUGGUAAGUCUGGAGUGAAAGUCCUGCUUUUAAGGUGGGAAUUGCUUUGGAUACUGUCGGGCUUGAGUGCAGGAGAGGUAAGUGGAAUUCCCGGUGUAGCGGUGAAAUGCGUAGAGAUCGGGAGGAACACCAGUGGCGAAGGCGACUUACUGGACUGUAACUGACGCUGAGGCGCGAAAGUGUGGGGAGCAAACA
rnacentral:rRNA from 1 species